UCCAGGGUGGCUCAAUGGGUAAAGAACCUGCCUGAAAUGCAGGAGAUGCAGGAGAUGUGGGUUCGAUUCCUGUGUCAGGAA
rnacentral:tRNA from 1 species